rnacentral:rRNA from 1 species
AUCUCCCAUAGGUUUAGGGCACUGGAAGGUCCCUAAACCGAAAGGGGCUCUGCCCGCCCGAGGAUGGGCCGGCGGCCGAUUAGGUAGUUGGUGGGGUAACGGCCCACCAAGCCCAUAAUCGGUACGGGCAGUGAGAGCUGGAGCCCGGAGAUGGACACUGAGACACGGGUCCAGGCCCUACGGGGCGCAGCAGGCGCGAAACCUCCGCAAUGCUCGAAAGAGCGACGGGGGGACCCCAAGUGCCGUGGUACAACCACGGCUUUUCCGGAGUGUAAGAAGCUCCGGGAAUAAGGGCUGGGCAAGGCCGGUGGCAGCCGCCGCGGUAAUACCGGCGGCCCGAGUGGUGGCCACUAUUAUUGGGCCUAAAGCGUCCGUAGCCGGGCUUGUAAGUCCCUGGCGAAAUCCCACGGCUCAACCGUGGGGCUUGCUGGGGAUACUGCAAGCCUUGGGACCGGGAGAGGCCGGGGGUACUCCUGGGGUAGGGGCGAAAUCCUAUAAUCCCAGGAGGACCGCCAGUGGCGAAGGCGCCCGGCUGGAACGGGUCCGACGGUGAGGGACGAAGGCCAGGGGAGCAAACCGGAUUAGAUACCCGGGUAGUCCUGGCUGUAAAGGAUGCGGGCUAGGUGUUGCUUGGACCUCGAGU